rnacentral:tRNA from 1 species
GGAGAGGUCGCCUAGUCCGGCCGAGGGCGCAUGAUUGGAAAUCAUGUAUACCGCAAGGUAUCGAGGGUUCGAAUCCCUCCCUCUCCGCCA